UCGGUCCCCACCCCAACCCGACGGCUUAGACCGGUCCCCGCCCAGCCGGCUUCCGCCGGGAAUGAAGAGCGGUGGGGUUGGCGCUGGUCCCGCGGACCCCACGCGUUACCGCGGAGCGCCCCAGCCGCUUCCAACAGAUCCCCCCGCCGUUCUGAGCCCGGCCGCGUGCGCUCCCAUUGUCUUUAAGGCGGUGGGAGCUGGGAGGCGUGUGCGAGGCCUCUGCUGAUGCCGAGGCUGCCGUUUUGCCACCUUCGCACGUAGAGUCCCCCCGCCCCAUGGAGGUACCAGCAGGGGCCGCGGCAACCGGAAAGGAUCAUGCGGCCAAAGACCACCCCAAAGAUCCUAAGGUCUUGGCGCCAGGUGGAGAUCUCCCGGCCAAAACAUCAUCCCCGCACAAAAGUGGACACGCGCUGCAUGACUGGGACACCUUAGCUACUGUAGGCACUGGAACAUUUGGCCGAGUGAACCUGGUGAAGGAGAGAUCAAGCAGACGAUACUAUGCCUUGAAGAUUAUGAACAUCCCAGAUGUCAUCCGCCUGAAACAAGAACAACAUGUUCAAAAUGAGAAAGCCGUCCUAAAGGAAAUCAACCAUCCCUUCCUCGUUAAACUAUUCUGGACUGGCCAUGACAACCGCUUUCUGUACAUGCUGAUGGAGUUCGUGCCUGGAGGUGAGCUGUUCACCUACCUGAGGAACCGUGGCCGCUUCUCCUCAGUUGCUGGAAUCUUCUAUGCCACCGAGAUUGUAUGUGCCAUCGAAUACUUACAUGCCAAGGAGAUUGUGUAUAGGGAUCUGAAGCCUGAAAACAUUCUUCUAGAUCGUGAAGGGCAUAUCAAACUCACUGAUUUCGGCUUCUCCAAGAAACUGGUGGAUAGAACAUGGACUCUCUGUGGGACACCGGAAUAUCUCGCCCCAGAAGUCAUACAAAGCAAAGGCCAUGGGAGGGCCGUGGACUGGUGGGCACUAGGCAUCCUUAUAUUCGAGAUGCUGUCUGGGUUUCCUCCGUUUUUUGAUGACAACCCGUUUGGAAUUUAUCAGAAAAUUCUUGCCUGUAAGAUAGACUUCCCCAGACACUUGGAUUUCACCUCUAAGGACCUCAUCAAAAGGCUGCUGGUGGUAGACAGGACCCGGCGCCUCGGCAGCAUGAAGAAUGGGGUUGAAGACAUCAAGCGACACCGAUGGUUCCGGGGUGUGGACUGGGAAUCUGUGCCACAGAAGAAGCUAAAGCCACCCAUUGUGCCCAAGAUAACGGGUGAUGGCGACACCUCCAACUUUGAGACAUAUCCAGAAAGUGAGUGGGACAAGAUCCUUCCCGUAUCCGACAAAGAACUGGAAAUAUUCAAAAAUUUCUGAGGACAGGAACACACAUCUGCAAGGUGAAACUUGUUUUUUCUGAAUUUUAAGGAGCAUGAGAAAUUCCGUACUGUGCCGAGGACCAGAACCAAUUCCGUUGCUUGUCUUUUGCCUUCUUGAUGAAAAACUAGAAGGAUUCCGCGUAUGUAACCACCAUUCCUUCGAUCCUGAGGAUCAUUGUCCGCAGGACUUGGCCUCUUUUGACAACUCAAAACCUGCCUAGUGGGAAGUUCUUAAUAGCUGUUAAACUGUAGCUUUGUCCCUUCUCUCUGAGUCUUGUGUUUCAUGCUGCAGAUUUAGGUUUUGUUGUGGUGGUUUCUCUACUGAAUUUUGUAAGUUUGAAUUUGACCCAUUUGGUGAUAGCUGUCACUGUGUAUGUGCACAGAAAUUGUGCACUACUGGACAUUUGGUACUUUGAUGUGCCUGUGACAUGCUUAUUUUCCAAAGCUUUCUGAAAAUCUGUCACUCUGCAGGUAAAAAGGGGUGUGAUAUAUGCAUUUUUAAAAUGCGUUUCUCUGCAUGUGGCAGGCAUUUGUGUAUGUUGUUUAUUUAGUCACUGUUUAUUUUGUUCCUCUCUGGUCACUAUAAACUCGGAAGUCAGGAAGCCACAUGCCCUGCAGACCCUCCUUCAAAUAUGGCACAAACAGGUGGCUUUCCCCAGUCUUCCAGUUUAGACGUUUCCAGUAAAAUAUCCCUUCCUAACCUUAAGCCAGAACUCUGCACACUGCAUUAGCCACAUGGCAACCUGGGUGCAAAGAUUGCCUUUUUAGAUAAUACACAUUUAUCCACAUUCCCCAAAGGGAACUUUAAGGAUCCACCCCUCAAUUCCCUCCUCUGUUGUAAAUGACAUUUUCUUCCCACCAAACUCAAUCCUGUUCUUCCAACCUUGUCCAUCCGUCAAAACUCAGGUUCCAGGCUGGGAACUUUUAUGAAAGUUUGUACAGAGCUGUAUUUUCAGUGAGCUUUCUCAGCCCUUUCAAUAUGCAAAAUAACUGGGUUAUGUACCGUGAACAAACACACACACACAGGAGGUAGAAUUCAGGAUUAAAAUCAAGCCCUGUGAAUAGACACGCUGGCCCACAUAGGUGCUGUCAGCAUUUGAUAUUAAGUAGGAAAUAACGUAAAAUUAGCCUAGGAAAUAUUGCCUUAAUUCUAAACACAUAUGGGGAGAUCACACAUGCCCACAUGCACCCAUUGUGUGCUCCUAAAGUACUUAGCAAUCUGACCCUGAUCAGAUUAAAUCAAAUUAAACACCCUUAAUUGGGCUGUAAAUUAUACCAUGUGAUGUCAUUGUAGUGACAUCAGGUAGUGCAUAGGAAUCAAAUUUUUUUUAUUUUAAUAUUUUUAUUGAUGUGUGUGUGUGUGGCUUCAGUACACAUGGGGGUCAGCAGAGCACUCCAGAGACCCUGUAGCUGGACAUACAGGCGAUUGUGUGCUGCCCUGUGCAUGCUGGGAAUCUCUGCAGUCCACAUAGUUAACAUGUAAAAGAAAUAAAAUUAGGAAUGAGUGGUCGGGCAAAAACAACCAGGAAAAAGGAUGAGGGAAAUAUGUCCUAUUCCCACCUAUGAGUCCAAGGAGGACUGUGCACCCAGCGCCUUCUCAUAAAGCAAUGGGACAGUUAAUAAAUUACAAAUUCCUCAGGUGGUGGUUUGAUUUAACCAAGUAAAAGAUAAAAUAAUCAGUAACCAAUACUAAUUUAAAAACAAAUCCUCAUGCUCUUCAACCAAGACUGACUUUAAAAUUUUUUUUGUUUUAGUGUUUAGUAGAGAUAAAGUACUAAGUGCUAUGGAAUGUUGCUGUCUCACCUAACUAGCUGUUACAUGUUACACUGUAAAAUGUGAUUCAAUGGCUAAAUACUGUUCACAGGACCUCAGGCUGUGCAAAUAUCUCAACAUUGGACCAAAACAUAUCGAUCAAUCACCACUGUGCUGUUCGGUGAACCAUAGGCAAGAUUCAGCCUUGUGUGGGUCUCGAUGUUGGGGUAAAUAACCAGGGAAAGUGUCUAUCACUCCUGGCUGUAGAUUUAGAGGCGUGUCGAUUUCCUGGGUUUUUUUUUUUUUGUUUUUUUGUUUUUUUUUUUGUGUGUGUGUGUAUGUGUUAUUGUUGUUGUUGUUGUUGUUGUUGUUGUUGUUUUGGAUGAAACUCCAUAGGGAGCAUUAAUGAAUGCCUGACACCUGUCACUCUUGUUUCUUACACACACUGCAAACAACCUGAAAAUUAUAAUGCAAAGUCAAGGUUUUUGUAUGGGUUGGUUUUCCCCCAAUCUCUUUGUGUGUGUCUGUGUCCCCUACCCUUAUUUGUUCCUAUCAGAUCUGCCUUGUGAACCUCACAGCCUUGCAUCCAACCACACACUGUCAUUUCUGGAGGGGAGGGGUUACUUCAGUUGGUUAUGGAAUAGACAUCAUCACUUGUGUGACUUAGGGAAAGUGAGCAGGAGCAGGAGCCUCCCUGGCCCUCCUGGUCCUCACAGGUCAGACUCAAACUCACAGUGUGGGGACGCACCACUUGACCUCCUGAUGGAACAGGUAUCAUGUGCACUGUGCAGGUGUGUCCCACUGCUGAGCACCUGCCGACUUGCCUGAAAUUAUCACUCGGAAUGAAAAAGCCUUUUUUGUUUUUUUUCUAACUUUCUAAUCCUGCUGCACAAUUAAAAAAUCACUGUGAUUUGUGUAUAUAUCUAUCUAUAUCUUUCUAUAUAUAUUUGCCCCAGGAAAAUUUUUCUGCUAAUUUAUAAAAUAAUACUACUGAGUCCAGGUUUGUUUAAUAAAAGUUUGUAUGUUAAGAAA